rnacentral:rRNA from 1 species
CGUAGGGUGCGAGCGUUGUCCGGAUUUAUUGGGCGUAAAGAGCUUGUAGGCGGUUAGUCGCGUCGAAAGUGCAAACUCAGGGCUUAACCCUGAGCCUGCUUUCGAUACGGGCUGACUAGAGGAAGGUAGGGGAGAAUGGAAUUCCCGGUGGAGCGGUGGAAUGCGCAGAUAUCGGGAGGAACACCAGUGGCGAAGGCGGUUCUCUGGACCUUUCCUGACGCUGAGAAGCGAAAGCGUGGGAGCAAACAGGCUU